CACUUCUAAGGAAGGCAGCAGGCGCGCAAAUUACCCAAUCCUGACUCAGGGAGGUAGUGACAAGAAAUAACAAUAAACCGGCUUAUGCCGGUUUAAUUGGAAUGAGUACAAUUUAAACAUCUUAACGAGGAACAAUUGGAGGGCAAGUCUGGUGCCAGCAGCCGCGGUAAUUCCAGCUCCAAUAGCGUAUACUAAAGUUGUUGCAGUUAAAAAGCUCGUAGUUGGAUUUCUGUGGGGACGGAGCGGCCGGCCGCAACACGCGGUUCGAGCUAGCGCUUUCCCUACAUCCUGCCGCGAACCGUGCUACCAUUAGUUUGGUGGCGCCGGGGAUCGGCUCGAUUACUUUGAGAAAAAUAGAGUGUUCAAAGCAGGCCACAUGCCUUGAAUAAGUUAGCAUGGAAUAAUAACUAAGGACUUCGGUUCUAUUUUGUUGGUGUUCGGGACUGAAGUAAUGAUUGAUAGGGACGGUUGGGGCGGUCUGUAUUCCAAAGCGAGAGGUGAAAUUCUUAGACCUUCGGAAGACAAACAGCUGCGAAAGCGUUCCGCAAGGAUGUUCCCUUUGAUCAAGAACGAAAGUUGGGGGAUCGAAGACGAUCAGAUACCGUCGUAGUCUCAACUAUAAACUAUACCAGCUAGGGAUCGGCCAACGUUAUUUAAACCGACUUGGUCGGCACCUUAUGAGAAAUCAAAGCAUCUGGGUUCCGGGGGGAGUAUGGUCGCAAGACUGAAACUUAAAGGAAUUGACGGAAGGGCACCACCAGCCGUGGAGCCUGUGGCUUAAUUUGACUCAACACGGGAAAACUUACCAGGUCCAGACAUAGUAAGGAUUGACAGAUUGAUAGCUCUUUCUUGAUUCUGUGGGUGGUGGUGCAUGGCCGUUCUUAGUUGGUGGAGUGAUUUGUCUGGUUAAUUCCGUUAACGAACGAGACCCCAGCCUGCUAAAUAGCGCGUGUGAGCUUUGCUCGCAGCGAGCUUCCUAGAGGGACUAUGAUGCGCGAUAGCACAUGGAAGUUUGGGGCAAUAACAGGUCUGUGAUGCCCUUAGAUGUUCUGGGCCGCACACGGGCUACACUGGCGCCUGCAACGAGCAUAUCAGCUGGCCCGAGAGGGUCUUGGCUAAUCUUUUGAACCGGCGCCGUGCUUGGGAUUGACCUUUGCAAUUGUUGGUCAUGCAACGAGGAAUGCCUUGUAAACGCGAGUCAUCAGCUCGCAUUGAAUACGUCCCUGCCCUUUGUACACACCGCCCGUCGCUCCUACCGAUGAAUGUUCCGAUGAAAUUUUCGGAGAGUGCCUGUGAACUUGGCUCUGCCUUGCGAACGGGAAGCUCAAAGUCACUUAAAUCUGAACAUUUC
rnacentral:rRNA from 1 species